rnacentral:rRNA from 1 species
UACGUAGGGUGCGAGCGUUGUCCGGAAUUAUUGGGCGUAAAGAGCUUGUAGGCGGUUUGUCGCGUCUGCUGUGAAAUCUCAAGGCUCAACCUUGAGCUUGCAGUGGGUACGGGCAGACUAGAGUGUGGUAGGGGAGACUGGAAUUCCUGGUGUAGCGGUGAAAUGCGCAGAUAUCAGGAGGAACACCGAUGGCGAAGGCAGGUCACUGGGCCGCAACUGACGCUGGAGGAGCGAAAGCAUGGGGAGCGAACAGG